AGGAUAAACGCUGGCGGCGUGCCUAACACAUGCAAGUCGAACGUCCUACGCAAGUAGGGAGUGGCGGACGGGUGAGUAACACGUGGGCAAUCUACCUUUCGGUGAGGAAUACCGGCGAGAAAUCGCCGACAAUACCGCAUACGCUUCGCAAGAAGCAAAGUCGCAAGACGCCGGAGGAGGAGCCUGCGCCCGAUUAGCUGGUUGGUGAGGUAAAAGCCCACCAAGGCGUCGAUCGGUAGCUGGUCUGAGAGGAUGAUCAGCCACACUGGGAUUGAGAACGGCCCAGACUCCUACGGGGGGCAGCAGUGAGGAAUUUUGCGCAAUGGGGGAAACCCUGACGCAGCAACGCCGCGUGGAGGAUGAAGUCCCUUGGGACGUAAACUCCUUUCGACCAAGACGAUAAUGACGGUACUGGUAGGAAGAGCACCGGCUAACUCUGUGCCAGCAGCCGC
rnacentral:rRNA from 1 species